UGAUAAUUGGCAGCACUUUUGUGUUCCUGAUAUUUAUGGGCAGUGUGUGCUUUCCAUCUGCCUACUGUCUUUUUCCUGCCGACGUGUUUGAUUUUUCCUGGUGUCUCUGUGUAGCCCUGUGCCAUUCCUGGCUGGUGUCGUUCCUCUGGGGAAGAAGGCAGCUCUGCUGAACCAGCUACAUCCCUUGGCCCGGCAGGAGGCAGGACGAGGGAGUGAGCUGCGCAAAGAACAUGUCCACCUGGGCUUGCUCCUCCGAACACCUUCAACACUCUCAGCCUCCUCUCCCACUCCGUUCUCCUCUUCUGAGCUUUCCCGAAUCACCAGUGCGUGGAGGCGGCCUCUCGUUCCUGUCCACCUCAUCACAGGCCGACACCCUAAUCACAGACAACGGAAAUGGCUCCUGGACUCAGUGGGACUCUGACUGACACCCCUGAGAAGGCAGAGGAGGAUCAACAAUGUAACAUAGACCCUCUUUCUAUCCCCUUUGGCAAAUACACACGUCACGUGGUUGCUGUUGUCUGUCUUAAUUUGGAUGGUGUUAGUACUUGCCACUUCACUCAUCUCUCCCUCACCUCCUCUUGAGA
rnacentral:lncRNA from 10 species